GGAUUGUGGCUCAGCGGUAGAGCGCCCGCCUAGCACGGGUGGGACGGGGUUCGAUCCUCAGCACCA
rnacentral:tRNA from 1 species